CCCAGGGGUCCAGGAUCUGGUUCCAGGAAGCAAGGCGCACGGCCAGAAAUAGCGGCCGCUGCAGCGAGCUGGAGUUCCAGCCCCCGAUGGCCAGCACCACCAACACCUGCGGGGAAAGCCGGUCAGCGGGCUCCAGCAGAUGCACGACACCAUCAUGAUGCCCACGAGCUGGCCCACCAUCUCCACGUCGUGGGCGCGGGUUCUGCGUGCUGAGCCUCCGCCCCGGGAACUGCGGAGGGCUGGGGAGGCUGAAGCGAUGGAUGAGGCAGACGAGGAGGAGGCCGAGCGGAGGCCUCGUGACCCCCAGCGUCGGCGGCUAUCUGGGCGGGAGGCCUGGGGAAAACGUCCGGAGUGGCGGCGCCAGCGGGCGCGCAGCAGGGCCAGGCCGCUGAGCGUGUUGCACACUAGCGCAGCGAGUAGCGCAGCCAGGCCGAGGCCUGCGAAGAGGCCGGCAAGCAGUGCCUGGCGCCAGCCGCCGGGUGGCCCGAGGCCAAUAAAACACCAGGUGCCAGGGUACUGCAGCUCAUAGCGACCCACGCGUGCUAGCGGGAGCAGCGCCACCGCCAAGGCCACAGCGGCCAAUGCGGCGAGCGCAAAGCGCGCGCGGGCCACUGAGACGCGCGCGGCAUGGAGCAGAGGCCAGGUGACACCCACACAGCGCUCCACUGCCAUGCCGCAGCCCAGCAGGAGCGGGCACAGGCCGAAGAAGACCAUGCAACCACCCAGGAAGUGGCAGGCCCCACCGGCCGGUGCGCGCCCCGCAGCAUACAGGCGCAGCACUAGUGCGCCCGGGAUCACGUGGCCCGCCAGGUCGAUGGCCAGCAGACUAGCGACGAACAACAGGAAGGUGGCGGCCGAGCGGCGGCGCCGCAGGCGGCCUGCGGCCUGAGCCAGCAGCGCCAGUGCCAGCACGUUGGACACUGCACCCAGCGUCAUGGAGAAGAUGGGCAGCGCUGGUGAUCCGCCCGUACCACCCAAGGGCGGCACCGCCGACACGUUGGGGAUCCCGGGCGCCGAGCACGUGGUAGCCUCGCCAGCCAGGCUCCAGUUAAGGGGCCCGCAAAGACUCAUGUCAGGCGCCUGGAGGGCUGGGUAGAGGAGAUGAAGGCAAGUGAGGCUGGAGGGACACUGCGGGAGACCGCGGAUUGACUGUCCCAUCUCACCAGAACCCAUCUGACCCCAAGGCCCUUUUGCCUGUGGCAACUCCAGAUGACCCUAGCUGUUCCGAUGCCUGCGCCCCUCACUAGCCCAUCUCUUGCUCCUCCUUCCACUCUGCCGCCUCCUUCCCAUAGCCCACCACUCUAAGGCUGCCCUAGACCAGCCCCCCAGGUCUCUGCCCCACUUCUGCACCCCAGAGAUCCACCUCUGACCCCCAUCUCCCAUUUUUGCAGCACAGCAAACUCCUGGCCCAGGGCCCCAUCUGGAACACCAAUUUCUGACCCCAGGGACAGGCUGCUCGCAGGUGCCCGCACUGACCUUCACCAUGUCACCUUCACUUCAGUCCCAUCCUUGAUGUCCCCAGCUCCAACUCCACUAUCACAGACAUCCCCGUCCCCAUGGACCCAUCUCUGACCCCCAUGGCACUGUCUCUGUCCCCAUAACCCUCCCCCCACAGCCCCAUCUCUCGUCUGUGGACCCAUUUCUGUGUCCCAGGCCCCAUCUCUGUGCCUCUCAGCCUGGUCCCAUUUUUUGCUUUGAUGGCACUGUAUCUUUAUAGUCAUGUCUUUGUCCCCACAGUCCCAUCUCUGGCUUCCAUGGCACUAUCUCCCAGAACCUCGUCUCUGGGCCCUGUGGUCAUAUUUGUGCCCAUGGCCACAACUCGGUCCUCCACGGUGGUCUCUGGGCUCCACUGCUCUCACCCGGGCACCAUCCCUGACCACCACCUCACCUGGAAGCCCACAAUCCCACACUGCCCACGACCCCUCCCUGUCCCAGAGACCUCAAGGAGACCCAUAUCCUGCCUCCCUCUCCCCCUCCCACUCCACCACACCCUGGUGGUGGCAGGUAAAAAGCCGGAUUUCACCCUGGGCCAGAGGGAAAGGUGGAUGGACAGAGAGUAAGACCCAAGCACAGACACACAGGGACUGAGAUCCAGGGAACACAGCAGUAUCAACCAAAGUAGCCAAGGUCCCAUCCUCAUCCCCAAACCCAACCCUGAACCCAGCCUUCUUACCCAGCGCUGGGACGCUGGGUCCCCAUGGCCCACCGCUCAGGCCCGGCUGCCCACGCCCGCUGCGCCUGGCUCUCUGGGCGGCCGCUCCCUCCCUCUUCCUGGGGCGGCUCCUCGCCUCCACCCGCAGCCCUGCUGGCCUCCAGGGACCGCUCCACCCCUUGUACGCCUGCUGGGGGCCUGGAGUGGCAGAGACCCCCAGUCUGUCCUCCUGGCAGUGGGUGGAGACCACUGGGGCCCCAGCUCCUCCUCUAUGAGGAGGGAGGCUCCCUGAGAGUCGGCCUGGUCCCCUGUGACCCCCUCCUCCCAGUGGGGCGGGAGCAGCCCCUUUCCCCCGGGCUCGGGCCUCUUGCCUGCCUCAUUAAUAAAGCGGAUAAAAUCUAAA